AUCGAAGAAUUAUCUAGCAAGUAAUUCGUAUGCCGCCAUAGCAUUUCAUGAUGUAGCUGGAGUACAGGAUGACCGACCCAUAAGCAUGAAUAUAAGUCUCGAAU
rnacentral:sRNA from 12 species